rnacentral:rRNA from 1 species
AUACGGAGGGUGCAAGCGUUAUCCGGAAUCACUGGGUUUAAAGGGUGCGUAGGCGGCGUUAUAAGUCAGAUGUGAAAGCCCACCGCUUAACGGUGGAAUUGCAUUUGAUACUGUAGUGCUUGAAUCAGGCUGAGGUCAGCGGAAUGUGUCAUGUAGCGGUGAAAUGCAUAGAUAUGACAUAGAACACCAAUUGCGAAGGCAGCUGACUAGACCUGUAUUGACGCUGAGGCACGAAAGCGUGGGGAGCGAACAGGAUUAGAAACCCCAGUAGUCC